CGUGAGAUGUUGGGUUAAGUCCCGCAACGAGCGCAACCCUUACCGUGAGUUACCAUCAUUUAGUUGGGGACUCUCGCGGAACUGCCGGUGAUAAACCGGAGGAAGGUGGGGAUGACGUCAAGUCCUCAUGGCCUUUAUGUCCAGGGCCACACACGUGCUACAAUGGACGGUACAAACCGUUGCAAAGUCGCGAGAUGGAGCCAAUCGGAAAAAACCGUUCUCAGUUCGGAUUGGAGUCUGCAACUCGACUCCA
rnacentral:rRNA from 1 species